rnacentral:rRNA from 1 species
UACGUAGGCAGCGAGCGUUGUUCGGAGUUACUGGGCGUAAAGGGUGUGUAGGCGGUUGUUUAAGUUUGGUGUGAAAUCUCCCGGCUCAACUGGGAGGGUGCGCCGAAUACUGAAUGACUUGGAGUGCGGGAGAGGAGAGUGGAAUUCCUGGUGUAGCGGUGAAAUGCGUAGAUAUCAGGAGGAACACCGGUGGUGUAGACGGCUCUCUGGACCGUAACUGACGCUGAGACUCGAAAGCGUGGGGAGCAAACAGG